GAUGAACGCUGGCGGCGUGCCUAAUACAUGCAAGUCGAGCGAACAGACGAGGAGCUUGCUCCUCUGACGUUAGCGGCGGACGGGUGAGUAACACGUGGAUAACCUACCUAUAAGACUGGGAUAACUUCGGGAAACCGGAGCUAAUACCGGAUAAUAUAUUGAACCGCAUGGUUCAAUAGUGAAAGACGGUUUUGCUGUCACUUAUAGAUGGAUCCGCGCCGCAUUAGCUAGUUGGUAAGGUAACGGCUUACCAAGGCAACGAUGCGUAGCCGACCUGAGAGGAUGAUCGGCCACACUGGACCGGAGACACGGUCCAGACUCCUCCGGGAGGCAGCAGUAGGGAAUCUUCCGCAAUGGGCGAAAGCUUGACGGAGCAACGCCGCGUGAGUGAUGAAGGUCUUCGGAUCGUAAAACUCUGUUAUUAGGGAAGAACAAAUGUGUAAGUAACUAUGCACGUCUUGACGGUACCUAAUCAGAAAGCCACGGCUAACUACGUG
rnacentral:rRNA from 1 species